rnacentral:rRNA from 1 species
UACGUAGGGUGCAAGCGUUGUCCGGAAUUAUUGGGCGUAAAGAGCUCGUAGGCGGUCUGUCGCGUCGGCUGUGAAAACUCGGGGCUCAACUCCGAGCUUGCAGUCGAUACGGGCAGGCUAGAGUUCGGCAGGGGAGACUGGAAUUCCUGGUGUAGCGGUGAAAUGCGCAGAUAUCAGGAGGAACACCGGUGGCGAAGGCAGGUCUCUGGGCUGACACUGACGCUCAUGCACGAAAGCGUGGGGAGCAAACAGG